CCAUCAAUAACUGCCUGAGACCACUCCUGGGCCAUUUCCUCGAUGCCCCGCCCCUCCUGGGGGCCGGUCCAAUCCCAUCUUCCCAGCAGGCCCCGCCGAUAGGAACUCCCCGGGACAGUUUCUGGGCUGCUUCCCCGAGGUCCCGCCCCUGACGCCCCGAGCGCUCUCGUGGCUGAGGACCCGCUUGGGACCUGGCCAGGUGUUCCUGGGGUUAGGCUGCAAGCCGUGUGUUGUGCCGGGCACCACAGAUGCGGGGUGGAAUGAGGCAGAGUCCCACACCUCAGGAGCCACCAUCUUGCUGGAGGACAGAAGGAAGCCAAGUCUCUGGCUGGUGCUGUGUGAAGCACAGGCUGUGCAAUGUAGAGGUGGAGACAGAGACGCCAGCACACACCACAUAGUGACCCAUAGGUAUGUAUGGGGCAGGUGUGUACAGGGCAGAGGUGUACAGGGCAGGUGUAUAUGGGCUGGUGUGUAUGGGGCAGGUGUGUACGGGACAGGUGUGUAUGGGGCAGGGGUGUACGGGACAGGUGUGUAUGGGGCAGGGGUGUACGGGACAGGUGUGUACGGGGCAGGUGUGUACGGGG